UACGUAGGGUGCAAGCGUUGUCCGGAAUUAUUGGGCGUAAAGAGCUUGUAGGUGGUUUGUCGCGUCUGCUGUGAAAAUCCGAGGCUCAACCUCGGACUUGCAGUGGGUACGGGCAGACUAGAGUGUGGUAGGGGGAGACUGGAAUUCCUGGUGUAGCGGUGGAAUGCGCAGAUAUCAGGAGGAACACCGAUGGCGAAGGCAGGUCUCUGGGCCAUUACUGACACUGAGAAGCGAAAGCAUGGGGAGCGAACAGG
rnacentral:rRNA from 1 species